rnacentral:rRNA from 1 species
CAGUAGCCGCGGGAAUACGAAGGGUGCAAGCGUUAAUCGGAAUUACUGGGCGUAAAGGGUGCGUAGGCGGUUCGUUAAGUCUGUCGUGAAAUCCCCGGGCUCAACCUGGGAAUGGCGAUGGAUACUGGCGAGCUAGAGUGUGUCAGAGGAUGGUGGAAUUCCCGGUGUAGCGGUGAAAUGCGUAGAGAUCGGGAGGAACAUCAGUGGCGAAGGCGGCCAUCUGGGACAACACUGACGCUGAAGCACGAAAGCGUGGGGAGCAAACAGGAUUAGAUACCCCUGUAGUCCCUGUCUCUUAUAC